UGAUUUUUCCAAAUAGAAGUGUCAUGUCAUUAUUUAUUUACAAACAACCAAAAUGUUAGGGGAUGAAAGGUAGGAAAAAGUGUGAGGGAAGGGAAGGGCAGCUACUCAGGUGUGAGGGAAUACACCUAUGUUUCAACAUUCUUUAUCUAAACUAUGUGAAGUGUUAAGAUGGAUACACACUGACAAUAUCAGAGAGUAUCACUCUCGAAACGCAUUGGCCCAGAGGAGACAUUACAUCUGCAAGGUAUGACCUUCAUAUAUUUUUAUUAACAUCUAGCCCUCAUAGGAACCUGACCUACCCAGCUAUUUGUUACAAUUCGAGUCAGCACCUUGUCUCUGAGUGUCUCUGUGACCGCCACUAGCCAGUACUAAAAAAACAAGUAUUUGAAAAUUGUUUAAAAAAAAAAGUCUAUAACAUCCUAUUUUUAUUUUUUCUCAUUAUAUCCUUAUACUUAACUAAGAAACCUUGAUGGGAGUGCUGUCAUCUUACUUAUCGUGAGUACCGGUACGCCUAAUCUUUGAAUGUACAAAAAGAAACCUUGAUAUAUGCACCUGACACCUCUUUUAUGUAAGUGAGGUAUGAACCUCAUCCAUCCUACUGCAUACUAACAUCCAGAAUUACCAAUACUCUACUGUGUAAAAGAUACCCAGAUAUAUGUCCUUAAAAGUACUCUCAUGUAAGUGAGGUAUGACUUUCUACACUUGUGCACCUAUAAUGUUUCUGUGUAAUUAUUCCCACAUCUCUAAUUUGAAGACAAUGCCCUUCAUCUCAUGCAAAAGAAAAUGAGGCAAUACUACACAUUGUCCUAUCAACCUUGUUUUUUCACAAGUAUCCAUGGGCCAACUACAAUGACGAUUAAGACUUUAGAAUCCAUUGACUAAGGAGGAUCAGUAUUAUUACAUAUUAUACUUUCAACUCUGAGGGGAUAUUCAUUUAUCAUCGAUGCGUCAUGCGUUUUCAGGUGUUAAGUCUUAUUGGCGUGAUCGGGCGAAAAUAACCAGUUUCACUUUUGUUUAAUCGCUGCUAUCCAAUUAUCGUCGAGUUGACGUCUACUUCAUCCGUUAAUCCACCAAUCGGGCGGUCAGUGGAAAGAGGCUUAUUGCUGGUAUAGAAGAUUGAUUUGUCAAGGUGUGUCUCACCCACCACAGUCAGUAGUGUGAGUUUAUGUGGUCUGUGUGGUGGGAGCUGCAGGCACGCUGUUUCCUGUGAUUUACAGGUGUCCUGUCGCAGAGAAGUCUGAAGCAUCAUUUGAAGUUUGCUAAGUUUUUGGUAAGUAAUUAUGUACCCCUUACAUCAAACUUUCUUCAACCCUCGCCCCAUGCUGCACCCUUCCCCCUAGAUACAUGGGUCUCACUGGGGGUUUUCUAUCCUCUACUCCUCUGCCAUGUGAUCACAUGGCAUCCUUUCUCCCAUGCAGGGUUUUCUGAUCUGCUCCUUCAUGCCUUGUGUACACACAUGCCUUAUACAUCUGUUCUUUACUCCAGGUCUGUGUGGUGGGAGCUGCAAGCACACUGUUUGCACUGAAUUGCAGAUGUUCUAAUUGGUUUGCCAAGCAGUGUGUUUUCGAUAUGUAUCAUGAAAAAAGACAAGUGCCCAGCCAAUCCCCACAAUCCUCUGAUCCCAAUCCAGACACGGAUGAUGAAUGGCAUCCAGACCCAAGGCAGAGAAAAUCCACCAUGGAGGCAAAAGAGACACAGAGGACAGAGGAAAGUAACGCGGAACAAGAUUCAUCAGAAGAAGACAGGGUCGGACUGCCUCACAGGGGUACAGGGGAAACCACCGGUGGGCCCCACUGCCUGGGGGCUCCAUCCCCUCCUCUAGGGAUCAUAUUUUACACUUGAAUUACUCAUUAUGCAUAUGUUACAUUAUACUGCACAGUGCUAUGGUGUACUUUCUACGGUGUUAUUAAUCUGGUAAAUUAUCAUGCAUGCACUAGCGGUAUUUGCUAUAUAUAUGUAUCAAGGGGCCCCGAACAUGCACUACUAGUUAGCCAAGUGUCGAAGUAAAAAUUAUUACAUAGAGAGAACAUACAGACUCCACACAUUAUGAGUCGCUAUGCUUGCAAAUACGCGCAGUGAGCACAGCAAUAUAUGGUAACAUAUGCAUUUACACAGACAUGCCACAAAGAUUCAACACAUAUUUCAUACAGCACAUAAUUAUAACAUAUCAAGCGCCAGACAUCAUAAUGUUUUAAAAUUAUAUAAUGGAGUAACGUCAUGUGUGUGUAUUAUUGGAACGAAGCAAGAUGGACAUGUCGUGUUUGGUAUUUAAGCAACCAUAUUAAUGUGUAUAUCAAUUUGAUGCCUGUUAUUAAGUUGCAACACGUAGAUAUGAUUAAAUGUAUGAAAGCUAAAAUCACUCUUAUUAGAACAAUGGAUUUCCUGGAAGACAGCAUGAUUGUAGCCUGGAGCCAGUGGCUAUCUCCUGUAAUUACACCAUCAAGGCUGGACAUUGCUUGCAUAUGAACUGACCAAUGACUCAUCAUGAAUGAGAAAGUUCCCUCCCCUAGACUAGUUACAAGAGAUCUGUAUACGCCCCCAAGAGACUCGGUGUAUUGCUGAAGAGACACACAGAAGCGUGCUUUUUCCCCUGGGUCCUGAACAAGAUGGGUUUCUGCCAAUAAUCUGCUCAUUUGAGCAUGAAGGGGGAGCGUAGUGAGCAUUGAGGGAGAUGGUAAUUGUAUCGCUGGCCAGUAACUGUAUGGAUUCCUGCUUCCUGUGUAAAUUGUAACCA